AUCUCACGUAGCAAGGAUAUUGCAUAUGACACAAGGCAAGAGUUAGUAAGACUUCAGCCACUAGCACGGCAACACCACCUCUGUUUUACCUCCUAAUUACAGGGGAAGCUUCUGUUCUUGUGUGAGGAAGGUGACGCAACAAGGUCUGACAACAUGGUGAAAGGAUAUAUGAUGGGUGAUACCUUCGUAACUGAAACAGUGCCCAACUAUCUACUAGCAGGGGCAAUAUUCUACUUGAUGAUUGGAGGAAUUAACGUUGGUAUAAACUCUUAUGAUAUAUCAUUCGCCGUCCCUGGUAUAAUCUGUUUAAUAUAUGGAGCCGCCUUCCUCGUAACAGCAUUGGUCGUGCACUGUAAAAUAAACUCCACCGACCCGUCGCCACAGCCUCCAGUCGCGAUUAGCAGAGCCACCGAGUACCCUCCACAACACCUCAGCCAAGAACACUACCCACAACAUUACCCUCCACAACACCUCAGCCAAGAACACUACCCACAACAUUACCCUCCACAACACCUCAGCCAAGAACACUACCCACAACCACCACCAGCGUACAGUUAAUAGUUGUGAAAAACGACUAGUGAAAUGGGUUCCUAGUCCUAGUCCAAAUCGCUGCCGUAUUCUUAAGACCCAAAAUCCAUCACUGGUACAAGACUCUAACAAUGUAUUAGUUCACUCGUUGGGGCCUAUUAUGACUGGGCUUACUAGGUAUUUGGGCCUAUUAGAACUAGAACUUACUAGGACUCUAUAAUUACAAAACACCCAGUAAUGGAAAGGGGAUACUUGUCAAUUUCCAUUUUUUGGUUUAUGUUCAAUUUCUAUAUUAACGUGUAUUAGUUGUCCUCUGUCACGUUUCUAACAAUCAAAUCUAAUUGUCUCACAUGGAAAUUAUCGACAACUCUAUAAUCUCUGACGUCGAUAUAAUUACGUGUUGGUUAAGUGGUAAUUAGCAAUAAUCGUCAUAAUGUAACCUGGAAGUAAAGAUCGUGAUCGUGUGACUAGAGAUUAUGUAUUAAAACAGAUAUCUUUAUAAUUGC